AACGAACGCUGGCGGCAGGCUUAACACAUGCAAGUCGAGCGCCCCGCAAGGGGAGCGGCAGACGGGUGAGUAACACGUGGGAAUCUACCCAACCCUACGGAAUAGCUCCGGGAAACUGGAAUUAAUACCGUAUACGCCCUUAGGGGGAAAGAUUUAUCGGGGAUGGAUGAGCCCGCGUUGGAUUAGCUAGUUGGUGGGGUAAAGGCCUACCAAGGCGACGAUCCAUAGCUGGUCUGAGAGGAUGAUCAGCCACAUUGGGACUGAGAACACGGCCCAAACUCCUACGGGAGGCAGCAGUGGGGAAUAUUGGACAAUGGGCGCAAGCCUGAUCCAGCCAUGCCGCGUGAGUGAUGAAGGCCUUAGGGUUGUAAAGCUCUUUCACCGGAGAAGAUAAUGACGGUAUCCGGAGAAGAAGCCCCGGCUAACUUCGUGCCAGCAGCCGCCGUAACAC
rnacentral:rRNA from 1 species